GAUGAACGCUAGCGGGAGGCCUAACACAUGCAAGCCGAGCGGGAUUUGAGACUAGCUUGCUAGUCUUAAUGAGAGCGGCGUACGGGUGCGGAACACGUGUGCAACCUGCCUUUAUCUGGGAGAUAGCCUUUCGAAAGGAAGAUUAAUAUCCCAUAAUAUAAUGAUUGGCAUCAAUUAUUAUUUAAAGCUCCGGCGGAUAGAGAUGGGCACGCGCAAGAUUAGAUAGUUGGUGAGGUAACGGCGCACCAAGUCGAUGAUCUUUAGGGGGCCUGAGAGGGUGAUCCCCCACACUGGUACUGAGACACGGACCAGACUCCUACGGGAGGCAGCAGUGAGGAAUAUUGGACAAUGGGUGAAAGCCUGAUCCAGCCAUCCCGCGUGAAGGAUUAAGGACCUAUGGUUUGUAAACUUCUUUUCUACAGGGAUAAACCUACUCUCGUGAGAGUAGCUGAAGGUACUGUAGGAAUAAGCACCGGCUAACUCCGUGCCAGCCGCCGCGGUAACAC
rnacentral:rRNA from 1 species